rnacentral:RNase_P_RNA from 1 species
CCAGGGGGCUGGGCAGCCGCGCUAUCCGCAAGGGUAUCGAGGAAAGUCCGGGCUCCACGAAACAAGGGUGGCGGGUAACGCCCGCCGUGGGCAACCACAGGGAAAGUGCCACAGAGAGUAUACCGCCGAUGGCGCCUAAAGCGCACAGGCAAGGGUGAAAGGGUGCGGUAAAAGCGCACCGGGGUUCUGGCAACAGCGCCCGCAUGGCAAACCCCACCCGGAGCAAGGCCAAAUAGGGGCCUCGCGCCGUAAAAGGCAGGGGCGUUUCGCCCCGAGAGGCCCGGGUUGGCUGCUUGAGCCAUGGAGCGAUCCAUGGCCUAGAUGAAUGGCUGCCCCUGCGCGGCCGGUCUCUUCGGAGAUACCGCGGGCAGGACAGAACCCGGCUUACAGGCCCCCUGGCAUC